GGGCCCGCACAAGCGGUGGAGCAUGUGGUUCAAUUCGAAGCAACGCGAAGAACCUUACCUGGGUUCGAAAUGCAGUUGUAAACCUCAGAGAUGAGGUCCCCUCUUCGGAGGCAGCUGUAUAGGUGCUGCAUGGCUGUCGUCAGCUCGUGUCGUGAGAUGUUGGGUUAAGUCCCGCAACGAGCGCAACCCUUGUCCAUAGUUGCUAACGCGUAGUGGCGAGAACUCUAUGGAGACUGCCGGUGAUAAACCGGAGGAAGGUGGGGAUGACGUCAAGUCCUCAUGGCCUUUAUGUCCAGGGCUACACACGUGCUACAAUGGACGGUACAAAGAGUUGCGAUCCCGCAAGGGGGAGCUAAUCUCAAAAAGCCGUUCUCAGUUCGGAUUGUUCUCUGCAACUCGAGAGCAUGAAGCUGGAAUCGCUAGUAAUCGCGGAUCAGCACGCCGCGGUGAAUACGUUCCCGGGCCUU
rnacentral:rRNA from 1 species